AAGGUGUGGAGCCGAAGGGAUACCAAGUCUGAAUAGGGCGAAUAGUCAGUGAUUGUAGACCCGAAACCGGGUGACCUAUCCAUGUCCAGGCUGAAGUUUCCGUAAAAGGAAAUGGAGGGCCGAAGCCACAUCCGUUGAAAAGGGUGGGCAUGAGGUGUGGAUAGCGGAGAAAUUCCAAUCGAACCCGGAGAUAGCUGGUUCUCCUCGAAAUAGCUUUAGGGCUAGCCUCGUAUUAGACUACUGGAGGUAGAGCACUGAAUUCUUAAGGGGGCGUCAAAGCUUACCAAGAGAUAUCAAACUCCGAAUGCCAGAUAGCCGAUGUACGGGAGUCAGACUAUACGAGAUAAGUUGGAUAGUCAAAAGGGAAACAGCCCAGACCUACAGCUAAGGUCCCAAAGUGUGUGUUAAGUGGUAAAGGAUGUGGGAUUUCAUAGACAACUAGGAUGUUGGCUCAGAAGCAGCCAUACAUUCAAAGAGUGCGUAACAGCUCACUAGUCGAGAGGUCCUGCGCCGAAAAUGUCCGGGGCUAAAACACAACACCGAAGCUUAGGAUUCAU
rnacentral:rRNA from 1 species